UUUAUUUAUUUAUUUUGGUUUUUCCGUUCGUCUUUAAAUGUAAUUUGAUCUCCGUUACCACGGUAAUCAAUGUAGGUGAUGUUAGCCCUCACGAUCGUUGGUAACUUUCGUUACCGGUUUAAGACCUGGAGAGAGAAUCUCGCGGAGGUCGCUCAUAUGUUGAAUCCUUCGGGAAGACGGAAAGGGACGGUCAGAGCCAUUGCCGACCGCUAGAGUGAGACGGGAACUCAGAUCUUUAAAGAUCCGAAGAAGCCCGAGGCAAUCUCCGGGAAACGGCGUACCAAAAGUACGUCUGGGGCCACUUUCCCCGUUCUGAGGAACCUAGUACUCGUUCACUUUGUCCCAGACCUUUGUGAAGUGUGGAGUGCGCGGACUUUUAUCCCGGGUUCCCUUUUUUUCCAGUCCUGAGAUCUCGUCGAGUUAGAAUUGUGAGUGUGCGAAAUAGUGAGCCUAGUGCGCGGCCUAGCUAGAGAUCAGUUCGAAGGCUUCGCUUCCUUUCGCCCUACCAGCAAAGCAGCACCAGUAGGAGAUCGAGCGCGCGUCCACCACCGCCCCGCAUCG